CAGUCCUGGGAGUUGAAGUCUAUGCGCCUUAAAUAGGCCCGGUCGGAAAAACAUUGGUUCCUUUAGUAAUUCCAGAAAGAGCUUGUUGAAUAAUAAUGUUGUUGCUUUCUUCACUGUGAUGUAUUUGUAACGAACGUUAAUAGCCGAGUAUUGAAAUCGCGCUGUUUGGACGACUUUAGAUAAGAGAAACUUGCUAUUAUGGCUUGGUUUCCUGAGAUGAUAUCAGAAUCGGUGCCCUACCUUAUAACAGCUACGUAUGAUAAAAAACAUUUGUAAAAGCAUUUUUAAAGUACCUGAAGCUGUGAUUUCCCUCUCUGAGAAGGAACAUGAUAGCAUCAAAUCUCCACCAAAUCUGAUUGGGAAUUUUCAAGUCCCCAACAUAUUUGAGAAAUUCCUAAGCAUACAUGGCUGUACUUCACAAUAGAAGGCAAAAAAUGUUUGGCAUUAACUUUAAACUACAGCAGAAGGGGGAAGGUGACAGAGGUGGAAUAGAUAAACAGCAGUAUAAAAUUUAUAAGAAAUGGCUGCUAAGAAAACAAAGCAGGAAGUCUCUAAGGAAGUUGAACUUUUGCUAAUUCAAAUAAAGUUACAAGAAGAUAUGAAAGAAUUUUUACAGGGACUUUUAGAAGAAACUUUGGAGACCCAAACUUUUGUUAAAGCAAAAAUUUAAAGAAAUGCAAAAAGAGAUAUUGGAAAUUAAAGCCCAGAAUAAGGAGUUCAGUGAAGAUGUGGUGGCAGGAUUUAAAUGUUUAGUAGAUUGUACCAUACAGUUGGAUGAAAGAAUUGAAAAAAUUAAUCAAACCAAUUUGAACUUGGAAAAUAAAACAAAGAGCUAAGAAGCAACAAUUUCAACCCAAAAGAUUCUUUUUUUAUGGGAAAGGGUAAAUUACAAUUGAAAUUUUUUUGAAUAGAAUGAUAAAAAUAGAAUAAGUGGAAUUAGUUAAGUAUGAAAGGGGUUUAAAAUAUUUAGCAAUUUAUACUGAUAAAUGUUAUAGCUUGUAUCUGUUUGAAUUUAAAAGUUGGAUAUAUGACUGUAGUAAUGGUACUUGGUUAUAUAUGGUGGAAUUGUUAAAAAUUAAAUUAUUUUGGGUGAAGAUUGAUUUGGAGGAUAAGAAAUGUAAUUAGUUAAUUGUAUGAAAGGGGUUUAAAAUAUUUAGCAAUUUAUACUGAUAAAUGUCAUGGUUUGUAUUUGUUUAAAUUUAAGAGUCGGAGAUAGGAUUGUAGUAAUGUUACUUGAUUAUAUAUAGUGGAAUUAUUAAAGAUUAAAUUACUUCGGCUGAAAACUGAUUUGGGGGAUAAGAAAUGUAAUUAGUUAAGGGUUGUAUGGGAAAAAUGGGUAAAUGUUUAGAAAAUUACGAUGUUGGGUGUUUAUUAUUAUUUAUGAUGGAUAUAUAAACUUGAGGGAUUAUAAAUUUGAGGGACUAUAAGAUAUAUUGAAAGAUGAUGUUUAUUAUUAUGUAUGAUGUAUAUAUAAACUUGAUGGACUAUAAGGUAUACUGAAGAAUAACUUUUGAUAUUUUAAUAUUGGGGGAAUAUUGCUUAUUACUGAAGAUUGGAUGUUAAAAUUAGUGGACCCAGAUGAGAAGGCAGGAACAUUAGCGUACCUGAAAGACUACUUAUGAAAGAUAAAUAUGGGAAUGGAGAAGAUGGAUUGACUUUUAAAAAAUACUGGACUGAAAUAACUUGACCCAGACAAGACAGGAACAUCAGAGUGCGUGAAAGACUAUUUACGAAAAAUAUAUACUGGAAUGAAGAAGAUGGACUGACUUUUAAAAAGAUAUUGGAUUGAAAUAUUGGAACACUAAAUAGUUCAUGAGGGAAUAGAAUGUAAUUGUAUUAGUAUUAGUAUAUUUUCCUUUUUCUCCUUUUUUUGGGAAAGGGGAGUUAAAGUUUUAGAGGAGGAUGGGAGUUUAUGGAUAAUUAGCGUAUUUUAGCUUAUGAUUGUUAGAUACAAUACCCUGUAUUUGCU